GUCGUAACAAGGUUUCCGUAGGUGAACCUGCGGAAGGAUCAUUACCAUAAUAUCCAUCCUUUUACAUACCCAAGCGAACCCCUCUGGGCCUUCGUAAGAAGGUCCAUGAUUGUCUUCGCCUCCUCUCUUCGGAAAGGAGUCGUCCACAGUCAUUUUCUACGCCGAUUUUCACAAAUCACGGACGAACCAGCGUAUGCUGACGCCGAAAGACGACUACUCUUUGAGUGAUCGUUUUGACUUUAGCGAAAUGCCAUACAACUCUUACCGGCGGAUGUCUUGGCUCCCACAACGAUGAAGAACGCAGCGAAAUGCGAUACGUAAUGCGAAUUGCAGAAUCCAGUGAAUCAUCAAACCUUUGAACGCAUCUUGCGCUUCCGGGAUAUGCCUGGAGGCAUGCGUGACGGAGUGCUUGUCACACACAUCACCCCACGGCGUGAGCCGCGGCGGUGGAGUCUGCGCCUCGAUGGAAGUCCUUCGGGAAAUCGAUCGUGGCGCCAAGUGCAGCUCUCUUCUCGCCGUCUCUUCCGAUCCGUUCGAGGCAGGGUACUAGGGUUUUUACAACCAUUAUCACCCAGCCGAGGAUUGGAGUUUUACACUGAGACGGCGGAGAGGUUCGUGUCCCUUCGCGGGGGCACAUCGGACUCCUCUUGGAGUCCCCAACCUUUGAGCCUCCGUUACGCAAGAAGACCCGCUGAAUUUAAGCAUAUAACUAAGCGGAGGAAAAGAAACUAACAAGGAUUCCCCUAGUAAGGGCGACUGAAGCGGGAUCAGCCCAGAUUGUAAACUGGCCGCCUCGGCGGCUGGGUUGUAGUCUACAGAGGCGACGCCAGGCGAGGUCCGGGGAGAAGUCCCUUGGAACAGGGCAUCGGAGAGGGUGACAAUCCCGUCUGUGCCUCGGACCGAGUCGUACGGUGCGUCUUCGACGAGUCGAUUUGCUUGGGAUUGCAGAUCAAACGGGUGGUAAAUUCCAUCUAAGGCUAAAUACGGGUGGGAGACCGAUAGCGAACAAGUACCGUGAGGGAAAGAUGCAAAGAACUUUGAAAAGAGAGUUAAAAAGGGCCUGAAACUGGUAAGAGGGAACCGAACGGCAGAAGUGGUGAUGCUCGCGCAUCUUCCGCCGGGCUUUUGGCCGGCGUACUUGUGCGCGAGCGUAGGUCAGCGUGCGUUGGGGCGUGGGAGUCGUUCUCGGGCGGUAAGUCUUCGGACAACCUCCCGGGUUCAGGCCGCGCCGAAGACGUUCGCUGACGAAAUUCUUCCGUUCAUCCCGUCUCGAAACACGGACCAAGGAGUCUAAAAUACGAGCGAGUGCGCCGGUGGCAAACCGGGGCGCGUAAUGAAAGUGAGAUCGACGGUGGGAGGGUUCUGCCCGCACCAUCAACCGACCCUGAUCCUCCGGGUGAAAGGUUUGAGUGUAGCUUGUAUUUUGGGACCCGAAAGAUGGUGAACUAUGCGUGA
rnacentral:rRNA from 1 species